rnacentral:rRNA from 1 species
UUCGGGUUGUAAACCUCUUUCGACAGGGACGAAGCUUUCGGGUGACGGUACCUGUAGAAGAAGCACCGGCUAACUACGUGCCAGCAGCCGCGGUAAUACGUAGGGUGCGAGCGUUGUCCGGAUUUAUUGGGCGUAAAGAGCUCGUAGGCGGUUUGUCGCGUCGGCCGUGAAAACCUGCAGCUUAACUGUGGGCGUGCGGUCGAUACGGGCAGACUUGAGUUCGGCAGGGGAGACUGGAAUUCCUGGUGUAGCGGUGAAAUGCGCAGAUAUCAGGAGGAACACCGGUGGCGAAGGCGGGUCUCUGGGCCGAUACUGACGCUGAGGAGCGAAAGCAUGGGGAGCGAACAGGAUUAGAUACCCUGGUAGUCCAAGGGCGAAU